rnacentral:misc_RNA from 1 species
CGGCGGCAAGCAAUGAUGUCACCGUAUGGCGUAUGCCCGGGCUCUCACACUAGCAGUCAUACCCUCGCGUUGACUACUCGUGUGUUUAAUAUUAAUAUUCACAGUAUUAUUCGUAUAAAAUAUCCCAACUUAUAUAUUUCAGCUUCCCUACUAUACCUCCUACAAGUAAGCCCGCUAGUUAAAAUGGAUUCCAAAGCUAUAUCCGCAAACAUCGCAAAAUUCGCCGUCAAAUUCUGCAAUGAGUUGGAUAAGGACAAGAGCGUGGUGUCGUCCCCAUUGUCGGCAGAGUUCGUGUUGGCGCUGCUGGCUCUUGGCACCAGCGAUCCAGCUCACGCUGAGCUGCUGACCGCCCUCGGCAUCCCCGACGAUGACGCUAUUCGAUCGUCGUUUUCUUCAGUGUCUGCGAAAAUAAGGUCGUUGAAGGGCGUAACUUUGAAUGUGGCGAACCGCGUGUAUGUGAAGGAGGGGCCUCAUGAACUGCAGCCCAAACUACAGGAGGAUGCCGUGAAGGUCUUCGAUGCUGGCAUCGAGAAGAUUGACUUCGCUAAGAGCACCGCUGCUGCCCAGCAGAUUAACCAAUGGGUUGAAAGCAAAACUAAUAAUAAAAUUAAGGACCUCAUCGCACCGGAUUGUCUCGGCGAAGAUACACGACUGGUUCUAGUCAACGCUCUCUACUUUAAGGGUACUUGGAAGAAGAAGUUUGACCCGCAGUUAACUACGCCCCUGGAUUUCCACGUCACCGCUAAAAAGACAAUUCAAGUACCAAUGAUGUUCAUGGAUGGGAAAUUCAAUUAUGAUGUUUCUGACGAGCUCAAUGCCGAGAUGUUAUCGAUGCCGUAUGAAGGAGAAGAAUCGAGCCUGGUGAUUAUUCUCCCGAAAGAAAUCGAAGGUUUGAACAAUGUGAUGCAGAAGCUAGCGGAUGGCUAUGACCUUAUGAAGGACCUUGACAGAUUGACUUCCCCGGGAGCUUCAAUGAAGGUGGAGGUCACCGUACCCAAGUUCAAGAUCGAAACCGAAUUGGAUCUCAACACCCUGCUUCCGAAGCUCGGGAUCAAAUCGAUAUUCAACCGUGUUUCGUCUGGCCUUGACAAGUUGUUGACCCCUCCAGAGCCUUUGUACGUGUCCAAAGCCAUUCAGAAGGCAUUCAUUGAAGUGAACGAGGAGGGAGCUGAAGCGGCGGCGGCUACUGGUAUGCAGAUAAUACGUUUGAGCGAGGAUCCAUCUGUUGAGUUGUUCCAAGCUGACCACCCGUUCCUGUACAUCCUGAUGGGUCCCCGAGCUACCAUUCUGUUUGUCGGAGUCUUCCGAGGUCAAUGAAGAAUGGAAGAAUUAUUUGAUACCUGCUUUGUUGCAAUAUUAUAUCUAUAAGAAUCAAAACACGUUCAAUCAAAAAGUGUGCAACUUGGCUAACCCCCCCGAUAAAACUGGUCAUACGGUCAUUUAUAUUUUCAGGUAAGCAAAACAAGGAACUAAUCAUUUUUGAGUAUAUUUUUUAUAGGCUAAUCUCACACAACACCGCGCACUUUAGUAGCAGACGGAUGCAUUGAAGCAGAUUUUGUUGCGGCGUAUCGCGCGGCGAGGCAGUGAGCUCGCUGUCCGCGCGGAUUACUGCCUCGCCGCGCAUAUACAGCGUGUUAGUGACAUCGAAACGCAUACUAAGGGGGAUGAUUCAGACCAUGAUUCUGAGUUAAUAUCAAGUAGAAUUUUCCGUCGCAAAAUUCAUGGUUUUUUUUUUAGUUUUUUUAAAUUACUUACUUAUUUUCAAUUCUAUAGGUACUUCUGCUAUGGAAAAUUCUUCCCUCAAAGUUUUCGUUACGAUGUCACUAACACCCUGUAUGCUACAUACUAAAAAAUACGCAGUCAGUAUAAGUUAUACGCGCUAUAAAGCGGUUCGUCGUAUUAUUCGCAGUACCGCUUAACCACGCGUUCGUGUGUAAGGAUUUUUAGGAAUUAACAGAUUACAAAUCAAUGCGAUCUACAAACCGCUUCACCGCCAACCAUCGCGUCGGUGUGCAGUGUCGUGUGAGAAUAGUCUUAAAAGUUGUUUUUACUUUUGUUAUAGAUUCCUACCUACUUACAAACUUAUAUACUUAUUUUUUGAGCACUGAAAUUAAAACACUCUCGUGAAACACUA